GAUUAACGCUGGCGGCGUGCAUAACACAUGCAAGUCGAACGAUGAAACUUAAAUGAUUUCUUCGGAAUGAACUUAAGUGGAUUAGUGGCGGACGGGUGAGUAACGCGUGAGUAACCUGCCUUCACAAGGGGAUAGCCGUUGGAAACGACGAAUAAUACCCUAUGAAACUAUCACUUCGCAUGAAGCGAUAGUCAAAGUGUUAGCGGUGUAAGAUGGACUUGCGUCUGAUUAGCUAGUUGGUGAGAAAAAAGCCCACCAAGGCAACGAUCAGUAGCCGGCUUGAGAGAGUGUACGGCCACAUUGGGACUGAGACACGGCCCAGACUCCUACGGGAGGCAGCAGUGGGGAAUUUUGCACAAUGGGGGAAACCCUGAUGCAGCGACGCCGCGUGAUUUAGAAGGCCUUCGGGUUGUAAAAAUCUUUUGUAUAGGAAGAAAAUGACAGUACUAUACGAAUAAGGUCCGGCUAAUUACGUG
rnacentral:rRNA from 1 species